UACAGAGGUCCCAAGCGUUAUUCGGAUUCACUGGGCGUAAAGGGUGCGCAGGCGGCCGGGUGUGUCAGAUGUGAAAUCCCGAGGCUCAACCUCGGAACUGCGUCUGAAACUACUCGGCUAGAGUACUGGAGAGGGUAACGGAAUUCACGGUGUAGCAGUGAAAUGCGUAGAUAUCGUGAGGAACACCAGAGGCGAAGGCGGUUACCUGGACAGUUACUGACGCUCAGGCACGAAAGCAUGGGGGAGCAAAAGGG
rnacentral:rRNA from 1 species